GAUGAACGCUGGCGGCGUGCCUAAUACAUGCAAGUCGAGCGAACGACCAGAAUCUUGCUUCCUCGAUUUUAGCGGCGGACGGGAGAAUAACACGUAGCUAACCUUCCCUUAAGGAUGGGAUAACUUCGGGGAACCGUAACCAAUACCGGAAUAUUUUUUGAACCGCCUGGUUUAAAAAUGUAAGACGGUUUUGCUGUCACUUAUAGCUUGAUCCGCGGUGCAUUAGGUAGUUGGUUAGGUAACCGCUUACCAAGGCAACGAUGCAUAGCCGACCUGAGAGGGUGAUCGGCCACACUGGAACUGAGACACGGUCCAGACUCCUACGGGAGGCAGCAGUAGGGAAUCUUCCGCAAUGGGCGAAAGCCUGACGGAGCAACGCCGCGUGAGUGAGGAAGGUCUUCGGAUCGUAAAACUCUGUUAUUAGGGAAGAACAUAUGUGUAAGUAACUGUGCACAUCUUGACGGUACCUAAUCAGAAAGCCACGGCUAACUACGUG
rnacentral:rRNA from 1 species